rnacentral:rRNA from 1 species
CAGCAGCCACGGUAAAACGUAGGGUGCAAGCGUUAAUCGGAAUUACUGGGCGUAAAGCGUGCGCAGGCGGUUCUAUAAGACAGAUGUGAAAUCCCCGGGCUCAACCUGGGAACUGCAUUUGUGACUGUAGAGCUGGAGUGCGGCAGAGGGGGAUGGAAUUCCGCGUGUAGCAGUGAAAUGCGCAGAUAUGCGGAGGAACACCGAUGGCGAAGGCAAUCCCCUGGGCCUGCACUGACGCUCAUGCACGAAAGCGUGGGGAGCAAACAGGAUUAGAUACCCGCGUAGUCCCUGUCUCUUAUAC